GUGCCAGCCGCCGCGGUAAUACGUAGAGUGCAAGCGUUGUCCGGAAUUAUUGGGCGUAAAGGGUACGCAGGCGGAUAAUCAAGUCAAGCGUGAAAGGUGUCGGCUUAACCGAUAGACUGCGUUUGAAACUGAUUAUCUUGAGUGUAACAGAGGAGAGUGGAAUUCCUAGUGUAGUGGUGAAAUACGUAGAUAUUAGGAAGAACACCAGUGGCGAAGGCGACUCUCUGGGUUAACACUGACGCUGAGGUACGAAAGCUGGGGGAGCGAACGGGAUUAGAAACCCGGGUAGUCC
rnacentral:rRNA from 1 species